CCCUUAGAUGUUCUGGGCCGCACGCGCGCUACACUGACGAAGUCAGCGAGCAUGUCCUACGCCGACAGGUGUGGGGAAUCUUGUCAAACUUCGUCGUGAUGGGGAUUGAUUAUUGAAAUUCUUGAUCAUCAACGAGGAAUUCCUAGUAAGCGCAAGUCAGCAGCUUGCGUUGAUUACGUCCCUGCCCUUUGUACACACCGCCCGUCGCUACUACCGAUUGAAUGGUUUAGUGAGAUCUUCGGAUUGGCGCCACUGCGGCUCAGCAAUGGGCUCGGUGGAUGCCGAAAAGUUGAUCAAACUUGAUCAUUUAGAGGAAGUAAAAGUCGUAACA
rnacentral:rRNA from 1 species